AGUGAACGCUGGCGGUGGGCCUAACACAUGCAAGUCGAACGGCAGCACAGUAAGAGCUUGCUCUUACGGGUGGCGAGUGGCGGACGGGUGAGGAAUGCAUCGGAAUCUACUUUUUCGUGGGGGAUAACGUAGGGAAACUUACGCUAAUACCGCAUACGACCUACGGGUGAAAGCAGGGGAUCUUCGGACCUUGCGCGAUUGAAUGAGCCGAUGUCGGAUUAGCUAGUUGGCGGGGUAAAGGCCCACCAAGGCGACGAUCCGUAGCUGGUCUGAGAGGAUGAUCAGCCACACUGGAACUGAGACACGGUCCAGACUCCUACGGGAGGCAGCAGUGGGGAAUAUUGGACAAUGGGCGCAAGCCUGAUCCAGCCAUACCGCGUGGGUGAAGAAGGCCUUCGGGUUGUAAAGCCCUUUUGUUGGGAAAGAAAAGCAGCAGGUUAAUACCCCGCUGUUCUGACGGUACCCAAAGAAUAAGCACUGGCUAACUUCGUG
rnacentral:rRNA from 1 species